rnacentral:lncRNA from 1 species
CCCCUCUGUGGUUUCGUGCUUUCUCACUUUAGUACCCUGCGGUUUAAAACGUAUCAAUUUGCCCCCCUGUGGUUUCGUUUUUAUCUUUUUGUUAUCAAUUUUAUUAUUAUUUUUUUUUAAAAUCAGUGACAAAGUUAAAAUUAAAGGAUACUAAAGUGACUAUUCGAUAAAUAUAGAUGGUUAUCUGAAGUUUUUUGUAUAUAAUUUAACGAAAUAUUAACGAAAAAGUUUCCGAAAAGAUAAAAAUGAAACCACAGGGGGGUAAAUUGAUACGUUUUAAACCACAGGA